CCUACGGGAGGCAGCAGUAGGGAAUAUUGCUCAAUGGGGGAAACCCUGAAGCAGCAACGCCGCGUGGAGGAUGAAGGUCUUCGGAUGGUAAACCUCUGUCAGCAGGGAAGAACGGUCACUGUGCUAAUCAGCAGUGAAUUGACGGUACCUGCAAAGGAAGCACCGGCUAACUCCGUGCCAGCAGCCGCGGUAAUACGGAGGGUGCGAGCGUUAAUCGGAAUUACUGGGCGUAAAGCGCUCGUAGGCGGUAUGUCAAGUCAAGGGUGAAAUCCCCGCGCUCAACGUGGGAACUGCCUUUGAAACUGGCAAACUGGAGUGUGUGAGAGGAUAGUGGAAUUCCAGGUGUAGGAGUGAAAUCCGUAGAUAUCUGGAGGAACAUCAGUGGCGAAGGCGACUAUCUGGCACAUAACUGACGCUGAGGAGCGAAAGCGUGGGUAGCAAACAGGAUUAGAUACCCGAGUAGUC
rnacentral:rRNA from 1 species